rnacentral:rRNA from 1 species
GACGAACCGUCCAAACGUUAUUCGGAAUCACUGGGCUUACAGAGUUCGUAGGCGGUCUGGAAAGUUGGGUGUGAAAUCCCUCGGCUCAACCGUGGAACUGCCUCAGAUACUGACGGUCUCGAGGGAGGUAGGGGCGAGCGGAACUGAUGGUGGAGCGGUGAAAUGCGUUGAUAUCAUCAGGAACUCCGGUGGCGAAGGCGGCUCGCUGGACCUUUCUGACGCUGAGGCGCGAAAGCUAGGGGAGCAAAGCGGGG